CGCCCGGCCCGGCGCCCCCGGAGGCGGCCGCUCCGCGCUGCCGUACCUGCGCUGGAAGUCGGUCCGGAAGGGCUCCAGCGUGUCGGAUGCCCGGGUGAACUCUGUGUUCCCACACACACAAAGCCCACUGCGCACCCCGGCCAACAGCAACACCCCCCAAAGCAGAUUUGGCAUCAUCGUGAGUGCUGGAAUAAAUUUCUCGGCUGUUUGAUAGGGUGCUGACGUGCUCACAGACAGCUCAGCAGAACAAGACUGGGGACAUCCCUGAGUUCUCAUAAACUCCGUGUCUGCACAGCAAAAUGUUGCUUUGUCAGACACAUAAAUUCCAAACGUGGUAAGGUUAGUCCAGCCGAUCCUAGUACAGAUCAAAAUCCGGAAUAGCACAGGUAGAUUGCUGUGGAAGUUUUUGAGCUAACAGCAACGUCUUGUUUUUGGAUAGGUCACCAAAUAUCCAGGGCAACUAAUCACCAGCCUGACCAUGCCUCUAGGCCAGCGUUGAGCACUUUUAUUUAAGGUCCAGCAAUUUUGCUUUGUUUUGAUAGGUAGUGAGAAAGUUUAUUUAGAGGCCUCUUUUGAAUGCUUUUCAGACACAGUUUAGAAACUUUUCAGCUUCCAGACACCUUAACUCAUUCCCACAACCAUCUCCAAAAUUGUUGUCUUCAGUUUGAGACUCAUCCCCCUAUCUUGGCUUCCUCUGAAUUGAAGUGCUGUUUCUCCUGUCUGCCAGAUGACUAACAGCACCGUGUCUGAUGAACACUAACAGUUCAUUUAUUACUUCUCCUAAAACUGGCUACAGUGAAAGUUUCCAUAAUGAUUUGUUUCAUCAACAGUGCAUGCACACUUAGCUACACUCUAUUUCCUUCCCUGUAGCAGUUUCUGACUACACAGGCAAAAGUCCAACCUUUAACUUCAGGAAGUUAAAUUCUGCAAAUAGCCCCUAUAACAGACAAAGCCCCAGUGAUAUAUUUAACACUUUGUGAACCAAAAUAUGAAUAAGCAUACCAUUUGUAUCUACUCAUGUUUCAUUUUACAACUUGGGCAUGAUUUUAUCUGCCUGCUUUGUCACAAGUAACUGCAAGAUACUAAGGCAUAUGUUAUUUUGAUCACUGAUUACACCAUGAUCCUGGUGUUCCCACCAUGAGCUGAGGUUGGCUCUCAGGACAGUGCCAUUUAAUCCUCUACCUGGAGGCAAAACGGACAGUUCAGACAAUGAAUAUUGUCCCAACAGCUGAAUGUGUCUUUGUGCAUUUGUCAGGGAUGGAUACAAAGCUGCCAGCUGCUGCUGCCAGUAGAAACAGAAAGAGGAGGACUGUUGGGAAUAACUGCUCUUUUACGGGGACAGCAGUGGAUCACAUAAGAAUGGUGUCUAAGGCAUGUGUCUGGCACCCAGUUACCAGCGGGGCUGGAGUAUAUCAAUUAUUCCAAAGUAGUCUUUCAAAGGAUGUUCAUGUUUAAGUUAUGUAUCCUUUAAAAUUUUGCAGAGUGGUUCUUUAGAAGUAACUGUAUAGUUAAAUUUAUAAAAUCAAUUUAGAUGUCUUUUUAAUAUGCAAAGUUCAAAGAUAAACCUAAAUUUUGAAGAGAAAAAUGUCCACUCCUGUCAUGCAGCACCUCCAUUUUGAUUCACUAAUAUAUUGCAUGUGCUUUGCAAAACAUGACAGAGAUGAUAAACCAUAGGAACUAAGGGAAAAAAUCUUUCUUCAAUAAGGCACUGGUCCAGAUUCUCCCUCAUCAAUAGUUUAUUUUCAUAUUUCAGCCAGAAUGGAUCUGUGAGUUCUCUUACCUCUGACUGGCUCUUACAGAGCCAACACCUGAGCUCCAGGUUCUUCUAAACCAAGUGGCUUACAGCAGUUCUGGGCCCUGGUCCUGGCCUGGCUCUGUAAAAUGCUUGUCUAAGUUGUCUUUGGGGUACAGGCUUCUGCUCUGCAGCUAAUAUAGAGAUUUACCUAAUCCCACAGUUUAACCUGUGUGAGAUGGCAGGUACCAAAGGCAGCAGGACAUUUUUUAACUUUCUGACAACAUUGAAGAGUUGCUGAUCUCUCAAAGUGACAAGUCACAAGGCAUGUCCUUUGUAUGGUUCAGUUCAAUACUUAAAGGCUGUAUCAAGACUUGUUAUCCUUUUAGUUUGGGCAGAACUCCUCCCAGCUCCUUUUCCUGAAAGUCUUUUUACAUCUGGUGAUGGUUGGCCCACUGUGUUUGUUUGCAUAUGAGGAGACACAUAUUUUUAUUGGCAUUGCACCUACCCUUGACUUCCAGAUGAGAGAUAGUCCAUGAGCAAGAGCUGAGAACCUGUGACUUGUGCCUGUACUGGAUCUCAUCUUGCAAACUAUCAAGAAAAGGUGUUCCUGUGGACAGAGAAAGGAAGAUUUGUGCUUCAGUGUUCCGGAAAAAUGGAUUCUUGAAGGCGCCCCUGUCCUUUAGGGACAUUUCAGACAUCUGAGCAUGUUAUGGGUGCCAACCCAUUGCAACCUCCCACUUCUGGACUGGUUUUUUCACAUUCAGUUCCUAACACAAAGUGGAGUUCAAAGAGUAAAGGAAAAUUAGCUUAUUUUGCCACAUCAGCCAGCCAAGCCUCCCCAUGUUAUUUGUUCAAGGAUCCAUAAGAAAUAAACUGCACAGUUGUCCUUCAGAUCCAAAGCAAAGCCCCCCUUAAAAAAUAACUAUCCUUUAUCUCAGUAGUCUUCCCAGAGGGGUCAAAGAUUGUACAUGGAGCUGUAGCUCACUGCAGGGUGGCUGUAGUAGGUGACCUUUAAAGGUCCCUUCCAACACAAGCUAUUCCAUGGUCCCAUGAGACUUAUCCCUAUCUUUGGAUUUGCCAAGGUGAGACACAUAGGAGAAAGGAAAUGGUCAGCGUUGCACAGCUGCUGCCAGACAUCACAUCACUGUUCCAUAAUUAAAACUUUACUACAGCAAGGAUUCAACUGAUUGAUUACAUGUGAAGAACAAAGCAUCUGUCCUUGAAAAUUGCAGCAAACAAGCAAAUUGCAACAGGUAUCUUUUGGUAUGUCUAUUAGUUUAGAAUUUUAAGUUUGGGGUUUAUUAGAAAUGUAGGGUAUUGAUACUGUCUUUUAAGGUAUCACCUUUCCCCUGUCAUGUUUCAGGAGCUUUACACAUCUUCAAAGAUCAAAACAAAUACACAAUCUGAAACACUAAAAAGCCAGUUUCAGGGUUGUAAGAGUCCAGUAAGCAGAGUUGAUGGAAAUGCCGUUUUCACUUGCCAUUCAGAGCAAAAUAAAAACACAUUCCAACAACCUCAUGGUCCUAAAUAAUGUUUGCUUCUUGUUUUCACAAUACUGCAGUGUGAUUAUGCUUUCGUGUCCUUAUUUUGUAUAAUAAAUUAUAAAAAAAUGUAAAUAUCUUUCAAAGUUGUUUACACAAGACACUUCAAAGUGUGAUACCAAGUUUAAAACACCCAGAUGUAGAACAAUAUUUGUUGUGAAAAUGUCUGUGAGUCUUACUAAAAAAAUCAACUAAGAAUUUGUAAAACAGUUCACAGAUGCAAAACACAAAUAAAACCUUCAGGAAUUUGAUAAUAUUUUGGGUGUUGCAGAUACUCUGUCUGUUGUAUGCCUUCUAUAUUUCUCAAAAGUAAUUACUGCCAAUAGUAACAACUUUCUACAACUUACUACAAUUUCCUGGUGUUUGCAUAUGUGUUUAUGCAUUGGAGGAAGAACAAAAAAAAACAUUCUGGACUCUCUCCUUAAUGCCAUACCACAAUACUUUGUGGCUGUCCCCUCUGUUUUUAUCAAUGUGUGUUUAUCUCCAACACUUAGAAAAUAAGCAGCUUGAGCUCUCUGGGAUAGUUGCCCCAGAGGAACAUUCUUGCAAUUAUUGCAGCAGCUCCUGUAACAAUAUAUUACAUUAAACAAGCAACUUAUUAACACUUGCCAAAUACUGUAUUCCUUUUAUCCAAACACUCAGAACUGAGAAUGAAACCCCACAGCAUCAGCAGCAAUUUUGUUUUCUUGCUGUUCAUUGUCAGGUCUUUCCUAAAACCCUUGAGGAAUGAUCUUACCUGGGGUGUUUCUUGGUUUCAUAGUCCUGAAGCAUUCAGGCUGCCUGGCCUUUUACUCAGAAAAGAAAGUGAGGUUGCCAGAUAAUCAUUCAGAGGGUAACACAUCUAAUCCUUGGGGAGGUCAAGUGAGGUGAGAAGAAAGGAGAUGCAUACUGCUAAUGCUCUGACAGCUCUGUCAAUAUAAAUUCAUUAGUAUGUAUAGAAGUAUUUUAGAUUUCAAAAAGCAGAAUAGUACCUCAGUUGUAUUCAUGAACUCAAGGCUCUCCUGAGUUUACCGCAGGAAAAGCAGGUGGAUCUGGUGCAAAGUGUGUGUGAAAUGCAGAAUUUUUGGACGUCCAAAAUGCUUUCCACAGACAGCCUUUUAGAUCUUAUCAGUAUUAGUUCUGGUUUACUUUUUAAUGAGAGUUGGUGGCAUUUGACCCAAUUAAUUCUCAGGUAUGACCAAUAGUGUAUUGAGUGAACAAAAAGAUAGGGCAGGGACCAGAUCCUUAAUGCUACAUUCAAACCUUACCUGUAGUUAGAAGAAAACACUAAAUAUGGAACUUAAGAACUUUUUGUUACUCCAGUGAAUAUUUUGACACUAUCAUUUUUCAAAAUAUUGGAUAGGUUUGGAAAAUAAACCAAAACCCAACACCCUCAUUAAUAAUGCAUGUCUCACUCUCUCUCUCUCUAUAUAUAUAUAUAUAUCCAAUGCAUACUUGUUAUGCAGAAAAUGUGUUAGCACACAAAAGGGUCGGAGAGUAUUUAAAAGUGUACAGUAUUUAAAAGUAAAGAGUAUAUAAAAAUACAUAAACUAUGUAUUUUUUUGUCUUAGAAUAUCCCCAGUACUGGAGAUAGGUUCCAGUACUGAAGGUUCAGCCUUCACAGUCCCAGUGAUACAGAGCUACACUUACAGGUGUGUAAUCUGGUGCCAUAGUUGAUUGUACUGUAUGCAAUACAAUUUUCUAUAGGAAAUUUUGUAUGCCUUGGUGAUUCACCUUUUCUUCUUGGAGCAAAGACUCUACAUUUCAAAACUCUACAUUUCUAUAAAUAUAGAAAUCUUUAUCCAAGACAAAUAUAUGUCAUUUUUGUAGAGAACGUCAAUAUUCAUGGAUUAGGAAGAACUAAUCUGUCUUCACAUAGUUUGUUUUUUUUUUUUCUUGCUUAGAGAUAAAUCCUUUAGGUAGGAUCCUUUUUCUCUUAUUAGAAAGAUUUAUAUCAUGCUCAUUUUUAAAAUCAGCCAUGGCAUUUCAGUUAAAAGAAAAGUGGUAUGACUUUCACUUUUUCUAUAUGUAUGCAGCUUAACAAAAUUAUACAGUAAAGAAAACUAAGUGAUACACAGCUUCCAGAAUGGGUACAUUUGGAAGGGUUUGAUUAAACUGUGUUAUCUGUGAGAAAUAAAAGGGGCAAAUAUAAUUAAUUGUUAUCUUAGUUACCCAGGCACCCAGCACCUCCUUCAGUAUGAACUUCUGAGGAUAUACAGGAUUAUUAGCUGCAUUUCUGUUUGCUGAGUAUUUUAUAUUGAAGUACAUACUAAUAAAACAACUACUUCAUUACUACUUAGUAUGAAAAUUUGCUUCAUAUUAUUAGAUAAAUUUUUUAGAUAACAGUUUUUUGCAACAAGGAGCUAAAUAUUUAUAUUUUAAUCCCAAUAGCAAUCUUCACGGGUAAUAUAUUAAUUACAGUCAUGUAUUAUAUGGCUAAAUUUUGUUUUUUUCACGUUAAUGCAUACCAGUUCCAUUAGAAUUGUUUAAGUGCUGAUGCUCAGUCAGUUGUGCUCAGUUUCAAACACCCUUCCUUUCUGAUGUCUCUCUGAAUGUUGUUUUCCAUUACCUAAUUCUACUUAAAAGAUGGUUAAUAUUGGUGACCAGUCUCAUUUUAGCUUAAGCAGCCACUGAGUGCAGAUUUCCUCUUGCUUGUACCGUCAGCCCCUGCAUUAGGGCAUCAACACACAUCAUCACUGCUCACAGCAGUUCUGAUUUCUCCUGCUUGAAAUCCUCCUGAUUUCUCCCGCACUUCUUCGUUUCUUUCUGCAUGAUAUUAUCUUCUCAGGCAGCAUCCAGCCUCUCUCUUCAUUUUCCACUUGUCCCAUAGUUCCACCAGGAGGGCAGGCAUCCCUGAGGGGGGAAGGUUCCCUUUAGUAUCUGUAAAGGUGGGGCAUGAGCAAUUAGUUGCCUUUUUCUUUAUGCCAGUCUUCAGUUAGUGAUCAGCUCAUUCCAGGAUCACUUUGCCAGUUUUCUUAUUUUGUUUCCAUGUGUUCUAGGUCUGACUAUUGACUUUCUGCAAUAUGUCCUACUAUUGCAUAUGUGCAUGGGCUAUUUUCUGCCCCUUCUCACUUUGUCAUCCCCCUUUUGCCACCUCUACCAGAGAAGAAUUUAUGAUAGUGAAUGCUGACAAAAAAGGAGCAGUUUUUAUAGCAUCUGAGUCAUGCACCCUGAUGGACUUUUUGUUUUUCUUGUCUGCUAUUAUUUAGUGUCCCCUAGAUCACUUCUUCCCUCAUAUGGGUUGCCAUCUCUUUCUGUACUGUUCCAGUGUGUACAGGCCCUAAAACUAAAUAUGUUUCUGUGUCCAAGACAUCCACUACAGGACUUAAAAUACACCCUGGUCAUAAUUCAAGGCUUGCCUGUCUCUACCUCAUAAACUUCAAACAGAGACUGACAGCUUUUUCUGGUCCUAAUAUGUCUCUGCUUUCUUUUGGCUUUGAUCCAUCCCCAGGUGAUACAAUCUUUCAAAUUGUGUGCCUCCUUUUCCAGCUUGCGGAGUGUUGCAUAUCUGCCCACAGCUGGCAGUUGCGACUGCAGGAACAGCUGGAUUGCAACAAUCUGCAUCUCCAAGUCUUGGUCCCUGCUGAAUGUGCCAUUCCCUCAGCCCAGCCAUUUCUUCUACAAAAGGAGAGGAAGGCAGGUGUUUCUAGGAGCAGAGUGGGCAUGUGUAGUAAGAGAAAAGCCUCACUUUUGUGAUGUUCUGGUCACCUUUCCACCUGCUUCUAAGUCCUGAGCUUGGCAGUCUUCCUGAUGCAGACAAGAGAUGGGACUUUGUAAGUCAUGAGCCCCUGAGACCUACACAAGAAAAACAGUGAUGUUUAGGCUGAGGGAUUCUAAUUCCUCAGCUUUGGCUGCACACAGUUAAAAUACUGAAUUACUCUUUAAAUUAAUGAAUUAUCUGUUGCUUCUUGACCUAAGCACUCCUGCAGCUGUCUCCUCAGCACCUCCUGUGUUGCCAUCUGAUUCAACACGUGCACAAGGAACACUUGCAAAGGGAGCUGAGUCAUUCUCUAAAUCUGGAACACCAUCCUCAGAACACAAAACCUUCCUCUGCAGGACUUAAGGGCAAGUAUUAACUGUGUCAUUCUGCAUAGGAUGUUUUAGCUUCUCUUACUUUAAAUUACUAGUGUGUCUUACUGAAAGGCACAUAAUUUAGCUGUACCCACCAAAAUUUUCUUUGUGACAUUUGUGUUGCAAAGUGCCAAAUGUUCUUACUUCUGUGUUCCAUUUCCUUUUCUUGUAAUUAAUUGUAAUUUCAGAAUAAACUCACAUCUUCACUGAUUGUUUUUAGUACAUACAUGUAAUUUCUGUGAACUGUGACUACUUUGCUGUCGUUCUUGAGUCUCAAGGAACGUAACCUCCUGUACAAUCAAGCUGUUAUUCCAGUCAGAACAUUGAAAGAUGCUCACUGUGAAUAUCAAUCUGACUCAAGUCAUGUGAUAUACCUAACAUUUAAAAGGGCUGAUGAAUGAGGACAUGUAUUAGACACCCAAAAAGUGAGGAAAAAUAAGUCAUGUGGCAUUGACAUCCAUAAGAAAUUUCAAAUUAACAUGGAAGAAAAUUAAACAGCAUAUCAAUGGAUGAGAUAGGCAUGAUGGUUUCUCCAUGAUGUCAUUGCAUAUUGAUGGAGGCACAGCACUAUGAAAUAUGAGAUGCAAAUGCCAUCAAAAUACUACCCUGGUUUUGCAAGGAGCUGCACAAGGAGCCAUUCCUUUUCUGCAAAAGGAAGGCUUGAUUAUUUAUAACUGUAAAAACAAAAACAGAAAAAUAAAUGUUUUCCCUUUUCUUAACUUCCUUUCUAUUCCACGACAUAUAGAUAUUCCUAUUAAUUUUAAAAAGGUAAACUAUCACCUCUUGUCUCUGUUUUUCUUAAAUCUAGAAAUGUUUUGCAAAUUUGUUUUAAAAUAGUCAAAUGUCUUGCCCUGUUUUUUUCAUUUUUAGAAUAAACUGAAA